UUACGUGUGGUGCUAAGGAGGAGUUUUUCUGUAAGCAGUGAAUUUGCUUUGUGCUUUUUGAGUUGGUUCUUUUUUUCCCCACUUUCUUCAUAACUUCAGCAGGCAGGAUGUGGAUACUGGGAGAAAAAAGCAGAAAAGAAGCAGAGGAUGAAAAGAAAGCUGACUACCUGGGCUGCUGCUGGGAUGGGACAUGCUAGAGCUUUUCAGAAGGCCAUUCUAUGAUUCAAUGCAAUGCACCUGAGUGACCCAGAUGUCGUUUAAGGGUUGGCAGUGGAAGCAAGAGCGUCUCUUGCAAGAGAUCCUUGCCUACCUGAAGUCUUCCAAAGCCACUGAUUUUGGCUGCCUUAACUUGGAAAGAUGCCCCCUUGAUGAAUGUGUGAUCUCCUGAUAGCUGGGUGCAGUGCUACCGUGGUCCAGAGCUCUGCAUGAGGCACCAUGAUGUCGCCUGACAAAUGUAAAGCAAGUCCAACUGUUGUUUGCAGGAUGCCAACAGCCAUCUGCAGAACCUCAAGAAUCUGUGUGUGGACAUGCAGCUGCACUGAAAAUGGCU
rnacentral:lncRNA from 1 species